rnacentral:lncRNA from 1 species
GGUGGCACUGGCACAAGGAGCCGCCCUGAGAAGCAAAAGAUGAAUCAUGGCGAUGGUUGGUGGACAGCACAUGCACAUGGGUCCACGCCAUGCAACCAUUUCUUCCCUCUCACUAUCUUUUUGUCCAAGUGCUGACGGAUUCUUUUUCUUUUCAAACACUCGCAUUAUUAUCACCCUUUUCUAUGUCUGUUCUGAACCUUUGGAGAAAACUAGGGAU